ACGUAGGGGGGCGAGCGUUGUCCGGAGUUACUGGGCGUAAAGCGCCCGCAGGCGGUCUGCGAAGUAGUGGGUGACAGCUCCCGGCCUAACUGGGAGAGCGGUCACUAAACUGGCAGACUUGAGGGCCGGAGAGGGACAUGGAACUCCGGGUGGAGUGGUGAAAUGCGUAGAUAUCCGGAAGAACACCAAAGGCGAAGGCAAUGUCCUGGAUGGUACCUGACGCUGAGGGGCGAAAGCUAGGGGAGCGAACGGGAUUAGAUACCCCGGUAGUCCUAGCCGUAAACGAUGACCACUAGGCGUGUGGGGUAUCGACCCCCUACGUGCCGACUCUAACGAACUAAGUAGUCCGCCUGGGGAGUACGGUCGCAAGAUUA
rnacentral:rRNA from 1 species